AAGAGAGUAAAGUCUUAUACAGAGUCAGUGACCUCCCGCCUGUGUGGAUAUUAGAGUGUCUAAUAUUAAGUUGUGCUGAGGUGAAAUAAAGAGCACAUCCUGGUUCGGAAUUCAUCUUCUUGCCUUUUUCUAGCAAUCAACCCAGAUAGCACACAUACAUCUGGCCGACGUCGGCCUGAGGACGACACAUCGGCCCUGAAUUUAUAACGUCUGACAAGUGUCAAUCUUUAAAUUUAAUACUCUUUUGUCCCAGCUCAUCAAACGUCUCUGUUACGUCAGCUUUGGGUCGGCCCAGUGCCGUAGAAUGUCUGCCCACAUACGGAAGGCGCCACAGAGGCGGAAUUUCAUCUCCGCGGUGUUUGUUUGGAACUGAGCUCGCAGGACACAGCAUCUCAUCACAGUUGGUUUCAGCUGACAUUAUCUGCUCAUCUGGUUAUCGUGAGCACUCCUUUUUGGGUUAAAGUGGAAGUGCCCGGAGCUGCCACCCGUGGUCCCGCGCCCCCCCGGCCUGACCUCCGGGGCCCUGGACGUGUGCUCAAGUGUCUGGGAGAGGAGCGCGGAGGUAAGGUGGGGCGGGCCGACACUGUGUAUCCCAGAACGGGUGCUCAAGUGUCGGUGAGACCAGCGGAGAGGAGCGCGGAGGUGAAAUAGUGAAGUUUAAGGAUGCCUUCGGUAUGUUGUUAAUGUGAUUUUAUGGGCAAUUUAUCAGUCGAGGUCUCCUCCUCUGCAAAGCAAACUGACCCGGUGGCUACAGGUAAUAGCGCAGUUUUGAAACGACUGUUUGUUUUUUUUUAGCUGAAAUGCUAAAAAAAAAAAAUACAGUGGUGAAGUUGGGAUUUGUUUUUUGAAGUUACGUGCUCAUCGUCUUUUCUGUCUCUUGCAGGCUGCCAGGAGAAGCGGACUGGUCAUCAGAUAUUGUUUGUGGAAAUUUGAAAAUAAAGUUUGUCAAA